CCUACGGGAGGCAGCAGUAGGGAAUAUUGCUCAAUGGGGGAAACCCUGAAGCAGCAACGCCGCGUGGAGGAUGAAGGUUUUCGGAUUGUAAACUCCUUUUGUUAGAGAAGAUAAUGACGGUAUCUAACGAAUAAGCACCGGCUAACUCCGUGCCAGCAGCCGCGGUAAUACGGAGGGUGCAAGCGUUACUCGGAAUCACUGGGCGGAAAGAGCGCGUAGACGGGAUAGCAAGUCAGAUGUGAAAGCCUAUGGCUUAACCAUAGAACUGCAUUUGAAACUGUUAUUCUAGAGUAUGGGAGAGGUAGGUGGAAUUCUUGGUGUAGGGGUAAAAUCCGUAGAGAUCAAGAGGAAUACUCAUUGCGAAGGCGACCUGCUAGAACAUAACUGACGCUGAUGCGCGAAAGCGUGGGGAGCAAACAGGAUUAGAUACCCUUGUAGUC
rnacentral:rRNA from 1 species